CCUACGGGUGGCAGCAGUGAGGAAUAUUGGUCAAUGGCCGGAAGGCUGAACCAGCCAUGCCGCGUGCAGGUCAGUGCCCUAUGGGCGUUAAACUUCUUUUGUGCGGGAGCAAUAAUGGUCACGUGUGGCCAGACGAGAGUUCCGUACGAAUAAGCAUCGGCUAACUCCGUGCCAGCAGCCGCGGUUAUCAGGGGGAUGCAAGCGUUAGCCGGGUUUAUUUGGGUUAAAGGGUUCGUAGGCUGUGAGGUAAGUCAGCGGGGAAAUGCCCCAGCUCAACGGGGUGAAGUGCCAUUGAUACUGCCUGGCUGGAAUGCGGAUGCCGUGGGAGGAAUGUGUGGUGUAGCGGUGAAAUGCAUAGAUAUCACACAGAACACCGAUUGCGAAGGCAGCUCACGAAUCCGCGAUUGACGCUGAUGCACGAAAGCGUGGGUAUCAAACAGGAUUAGAUACCCGAGUAGUC
rnacentral:rRNA from 1 species